GGGUGACCUUCGUUCAGGGAAACUGGAUGGUUUGUCAGGGAUGUCCUGAAGAUGGUUUCCCCGUGACACCUCCGGUGGGCCACGGCGAUGCUGUGACUCGCUCGCUCGCUCGGGUCCUGAGCACUUACUGAUGGCCACGUCCCGAUGCCCUCCCUUGAUUGUGACUCCAUCACUCCAUGGGAACAGACGAGAGCGUGGCUGCUUCACUGCUCCAUGCCGUCAACCCUCCGCCUCCUACCCUGCCCAAGACAGGAAGGCCAAAGUCGGGCCCUGAGCCACCACCAAGGAACGUCGUGGGACUGACCACAGGGAGGGUUAGGGACAUGAUAAUAGGAGGUGGACGAGAGAGGGAUGGGCCAACUGGAAAGGGGCCUGACCUUCUCAGAGAUCGCAGAGGCCAGAGGCCACCUCUGGCAACGCAGCCCCCGACCCCACGGGGCCCUGGGCGCCCGGCACCCACAGCCCCGAGGCCCACGGCCGCAGGGGGCCAAGCGUGGCCGAGCUGCCCAGCCGGAGCUGCAGCCUUUGCACUCAAGGGGCAGUGCCCAGCGAGGGGCCAGCAGUGUCCCCGUGGUCCUGCAGAUGUGAGAAGGGAGCCCGACGCCCAGGUGGCGAGCAGAGAGAAAACAGCAGGUCGAUGAAGCCAGUCUUAAGUGUGAUCUCCAUUCCUGCCCAGCGCUCUGGCGCAAGCCCAGGAGAGUCUCCCGGCUCUGGGAUCCAGAAUGACUCCCAGUGGGAGGUGGUUCUUCUGUUGACCUGGCUCCCUUGGUGGUCUGAGGUUGUCACCCUCAGGGCUGAAUUUGUGAGCAGUGUGUGUGCACGAGUCUGUGUGUGUGUGUGCACACAUGCUCAACUGGAGACCCACAGGAUUUCAGCUCUUCUGAGGCACCUAGAAGCUGACACGCUGGGUAGUGAGACGAGCAGCCGGGUGAGAAUGUAACAAACGUUGUAUGAAAGAAAUCGACUUUGUUACCGACUGGCUUGAGGGAGGGACGACUGUGUUGUCUGGAAGUGUUAGGUUCAUUUUAUAUUUGUGUCGGGAGAAAUGUUCAGCUCUGGUGCAGACACUGGUGGCAGCCAGACCACGCUUGACUCCCUGGGUUGAAAUUGAGAGAAAACUUAUAGGAUCAGACAGAUACGCUUUUCUUUGGUGGGUGCAGGGUUUCUGCUGGGCACUGCGCUAUUAAUCAGCCCCUGUCCAAGAAGAACUCAUCCUUUCUGUUGUCAUUAAAGGUCAGUUACUUAUUCACGUGGACAAGACUUGGGGCCAGUUGACUGCUUCCCUAGCUGAGGCUGAUGUCAGGGUUUUCAUCUCAAGUCUGAAAUCUUGUUUAACCUUCCAUCCAUAGUUUUGUCUCGUUCUGAUGACUGCAUCCUCUUGGCACAUUUGUUGUACUCAGAACCGAAUGGCAAACAAUAGUCUUGCAUUAAUAAAAGCCACCACGGAGCUCUGGGUGAGCUUCCAGUUUGAAGGCUGAUAGACUGUAGAGGCGUCAGAUGCACUCCGUAACCCCGAGCACUGCCCGUGGGCCUGUGCUCCGCUGGGGAGCUCCUGCCCCGACGUACACCUGCACAGGACAGCAGCUGUGCGAGUUGGCCGUUUAGGAUCUAAAGAUGUGCAUUUAAAACCCAGCUUCACAUUCCUUGUGUUUCUUUGGACCAUUGUGCUUUUGCAUGUUGUACCUAUGUCUGGAGUAGUUCAUAUGCCCUCACCACACGCUCCAGACACUCAAUCAGAGCUUUGUAAUUAAAAAAAGCAAACUCUACAGGAAAGAGAAGCAUGUAAAUAUGUACCAGUGCUUAUGAAGCUGUUAUGGUUUAUAUGUAAAGAGUAUUUACACAGCAAAGGGAAAAUGGCUCAGUGAAUGUUUUAAAUAACUCUCCAUGUACCAGACUGUAUUUGUGUCCCUGCCGUGUUCCUGUAAGCACACGGUUAUUUGCAAUGUCAAUUCUUUAGACAUCAUUGUUUUUAUUCGUGUAUCACAGGCACCUUCUUUUCAUCUGAUUACAAAAUCCAGCAUUUCAGGACUGGGCUUUUGCCAAAACAAAAGGCAAGUAUGAACAUUUGUCACUGAUUCCUGCUGGUCCAGUGAGCAUCUGAAGAAUUCAAGUGUUUUAAAAUAAUGUGCAUUUUCUAAACCCUGGAGUAUACCUUUUAUUCAAAGUCAGUGGGCUGGAUUGAAUUUCCUGCAAGUAUUUGUGCUCUCUGACUGCUAGCUCUUCAAGCAGGGGAGUCUGUGUGUAAAUGCAUCGCUUCCUGAUGAAGCAAGAGGAGGGACCCGAAACGUUGCCAGAAAUGUUUACUGUGUAACCAAGACAUGGACAUGUGUACAGCGUCACAAUUAUCAACAUAAUCACACUGUGUGCACAAUACCCAGAACGACAUAAAUAUUUUCAUUUGUCUAAGCUAGAAAUCCAUGUAAAUUGCAGCUUCCUUGUUGACACAGAUGUGUGUGAACCUCGUUUCCACAGUCUGGCGUGCCAGUUGCUGAAGGACUGUGGCUCUUCCUUAAAGUGAUCUGCCCUCGAAGAACCCAUAGCCUUCAGGACCCGCUGCGUGCCUUACACGGCUGGUGAACACCAACGCUGGAAGUCAGGAAGGAGGGAGUGCCGGGAGUGGGUUUGGAGGCAUGUGACAUUAAUCUACAUUUCCCAUCACCCCAUCAUUGAAACCUUAAGAUGGCUUGUGUGUUUUAACACAGUAAUGGGUUUAUGUUUAGGCUCAGGAAAAUCAAGGUGUAAAUAUAUGUAUCAAAUCAUAUAUUUGUUUACUGUAUAUUUUUAAAAGCUUUACUGUAAAUUUAUGCAAAAACAAAUUAGGACUCGUUUUUCUCCUGGCACCAUGCCGGGGCAGCAUUUGUGUUCUCUGAAGCAAUUCCUUAAUAACCACAUUCUAAACGUGAUAUUCUGUUCAGUGCUAAACAGUAUUUACAGGCCUAAAAUAGGUUUGUAUGGUGAUCAACUACAAAAUUUUACACAUAUUUUUGUAUUGUGAUUCCUAUGAUAUAUACCAGAGAAUUUUUACUUAUUUGUAAAUUACUGUACAGUUUUAAUAAAAAAAAGAUUGUUUUAAAUCUUAGAAUAUCAAAGUUCCCCUCCUCACAAGGCAUUAAAGUUUGGACUUAUCGGCUAUGUUAGCCA